GACGAACGCUGGCGGCGUGCCUAAUACAUGCAAGUAGAACGCACAGUUUAUACCGUAGCUUGCUACACCAUAGACUGUGAGUUGCGAACGGGUGAGUAACGCGUAGGUAACCUGCCUGGUAGCGGGGGAUAACUAUUGGAAACGAUAGCUAAUACCGCAUAAUAUUAAUUAUUGCAUGAUAAUUAAUUGAAAGGUGCAAUUGCACCACUACCAGAUGGACCUGCGUUGUAUUAGCUAGUAGGUGAGGUAACGGCUCACCUAGGCGAUGAAACAUAGCCGACCUGGGAGGGUGGUCGGCCACACUGGGACCUAGACACGGCCCAGACUCCUACGGGAGGCAGCAGUAGGGAAUCUUCGGCAAUGGACGGAAGUCUGACCGAGCAACGCCGCGUGAGUGAAGAAGGUUUUCGGAUCGUAAAGCUCUGUUGUAAGAGAAGAACGGGUGUGAGAGUGGAAAGUUCACACUGUGACGGUAUCUUACCAGAAAGGGACGGCUAACUACGUG
rnacentral:rRNA from 1 species